rnacentral:rRNA from 1 species
UACAGAGGUGGCAAGCGUUGUUCGGAAUUACUGGGCGUAAAGGGUUUGUAGGUGGCUUGUUAAGUCAGACGUGAAAUCCCUCAGCUUAACUGGGGAACUGCGUCUGAUACUGGCGAGCUUGAGUGCAGGAGAGGAACGCGGAAUUCCAGGUGUAGCGGUGAAAUGCGUAGAUAUCUGGAGGAACACCGGUGGCGAAGGCGGCGUUCUGGACUGCAACUGACACUGAGAAACGAAAGCCAGGGUAGCAAACGGG